AAGAAGAAAUGUUACAAUAAUACAACCCACACGCCUCACAUGCAUUUGUCUUUCUAACUAUUAUACACAUCGUACAUCUUUCUCCAAAUCGCUGCAUCUUCUAGAAUAGAACAUUUCCUCUCCUCUUUAGAUAAAGUAAUUGGAUUAUCCAGCUCUGAAAAUGUCUUACGUAUCAUCUGGUUCAGAUUUGUUCAUGUUUGAACCCUCAACUAAAAGAUCAUCAAAGGAACAAGUCACCUCUCACAAAGUGACCUUACUUGUUCUGCUUUAUGAAUUCCUAAAUGCUUAUGAGAAAAAGUCACAAAUUCGAGAACAGUACCAACAGAAUUUGGACCUCAAGGUGGAAAUGGAUUUUACUGAUGUAGAAGUGAAAGCUAUUCUUACAUUAAUAUUAGAUCUUUAUCAGGGACCUGAAAAGGCUCUUCGUGAUUUAAUUCCCCGUGUGAAGAAAGUGACAAAUGCAAAGUUGGCUGACAGAUUUACAGGAAGGUUGACUGUCAUAGCUGAAGGAGGAAUCCGAGCCCUCAAUGAGUUUUUUAAUCAAUUUACAGACGAUUUUUUGCAUUUCUCAGAAACAUUAAUGCAUAAAUCAUCAUUGUUCGGUCUGUUCGCCCGGAGGAUGAUGGUAACUUUCAACAUGUUAUCGUUGAGUGAAGUGGUCAACAUAUUCAACCGUUUUCAUGCUGAAAUGAUGAGUAUUACUGCUGAUAAAGAGAAAAAUUGUAGAGACUCAGUUGGUCCGGACGAUGCUUUCGGUCAGGGCAAGACACAACCACCCCCUGUGACGUAUAAAUCUCAAAAACAGGCAGAAUAUUACAUAGCCAACCAGGCAUUCCUCAUUCACCAUAAUGUCACUAAAGCUGCACCACCCAAUGAAUUACAAGAGCGGAUCAGAAACUUACUUAAAGAGAAUCCAAAUUUAGCAGAAGCUCACUUCUUGAGUUACUUAAACAACAUCCGUGUCAAGGAAUUCUGCACAGCUUCUCACAACCUCUAUCACUAUUUUGACCGAUAUGUCCUGCCGUCAGUGGACCAAAGCAAUGUCCAGCAGUUCAAAACUAAAGAGAAUAUUGAUGACAGCAACCGUCGUUAUGCUGCACUGAAUCUUGCAGCUUUGCACUUUAGUUUUGGACACAAAGAACAAGCUAUUGCAGCCUUACGAGAAGCCAUUCGUAUGGCUCAGGAAAAUAACGAUCACUUAUGUCUCCAGCACGCUUUGGUUUGGCUGCAUCGUCUUGGAGAUGAGGGAAGUGCUGAAACAGCAAAACUUAUGAAGAGACAAAUUUCUCUCCCAGCUUUGGCAUUGUUGAAUAUCCAGUCUCUUGCUAAGUACAAUGCAUUUGCUAAAAUGAAACCAGCCAAUGUCAUUGAAAGCAUGUUAUCCAAUAAUGUCCUGAGUAGUCAGUUCUCUCAUGGGGAGUUUGCUUGCAUCAGCCUUGCACAGAUUGCUGCUCUCUGGCAUACCUAUGGCAAGAGAGAAAAUUGUUCCCUUAUCAGCCAAUUGAUCCUCCAUCUAGACACGUCAGAUGCAGGAAUCUAUCGAAACGAGGAAUCAGUUUGUAUUGCCAUGUGUAACUUGGCCAGGCAUCAUUUUGAUCAGGGUAUGAUUGAUGUUGCUAUGGUGAUAGUGGAGGGUGCCAAAGAGAGAUUCCCAGCAAAUACUUCCUACGCCCAUAUAUGGAUGGCCACAGAACAGGAGAUGAAGUUUACGUUGGCUGUCUACAGCAACAAGUGGAGUGAUGCUGAGAUGGCAUUGGUCAACCUAAAGGCCGUGUGUGAAACAGAAGCAGAUAUCAGAUGUGGUAUUUUGUUAAAAGAAAGGGGCCAGGUCAACCAAGCCCUUACACACAUGCACCAACUUCUUGAGAAAUGUGAAAAAAACAGCAGUGAGACCACACCUUUCUAUACGUGUCGGGUGUUACUAGAACUUUCUGAUAUUCUACGGAAAUCAGGCAACCUGAGUAUAGCCAUAUUUUAUGUGUUACGUUGUAUCACAUUGGCCAGAGAUCACCAUUUCCAAUACAUCCUUAGUUUGGCCAUUAUGCAGUUGGCACAAAUACAGAUCUUGAUGGGAUUGCCUCAUCUUGCAAUUCCUAUUCUCGAGGAGCAAAUGAUGAACAUAUUGACCAAUGGCACUCUAGUGGACAAAGGCCGGAUGCUUUACUGUUACUCAAGAUGUACAGUGGCAGCUGCUAAAAAGAGCGAAGACCCUAAAGAAAUAAAAUCAGCUCUGAUGUCAGCCAUACGGCAAAUGUCCACAGUAAUUGAAUAUUUCCAAACUGUUGAAGCAUACAAGCUGCAAAAGGAUGCACUGUAUUACCAGUCCCGGAUAUGCGAGAGUUUGGGUUACACUGCUGAGAGGAAUAGAUACGCUCGGGAGUUCCGGCACCUAGACCAACUUUACCCAUCGGUCCAGAAAAUAGAUGUCACACUGUUGUAGAGACACACAGACUCACUGUUUGUCUCUCUUUGGUUGGAAAGGUUCCAUCAUUUUGAUAAUGGAUUGUUACUGGUUUGUUCCUUAGAUUUUUUUGCCAAUGUAAUGUAUAUAUAUAUAUAUAUAU
rnacentral:misc_RNA from 1 species